UACGUAGGGUGCGAGCGUUAAUCGGAAUUACUGGGCGUAAAGCGUGCGCAGGCGGUUAUUUAAGUCAGGUGUGAAAGCCCUGGGCUUAACCUAGGAAUUGCGCUUGAGACUGGAUAGCUUGGAGUGCGGCAGAGGGAGGUGGAAUUCCACGUGUAGCAGUGAAAUGCGUAGAGAUGUGGAAGAACACCUAUGGCGAAGGCAGCUCUCUGGGACGGUACUGACGCUGAGACGCGAAAGCGUGGGGAGCGAACAGG
rnacentral:rRNA from 1 species